CGAAGUGCGGGACUACCACGACGUGGGGCGUGCGCGGCGCUGGAAGUUACUGUGACGUGGAGAGCAUGUACGGCGCAGGGCAAAUUAGGGUUCUUAGAAUCAUCUUAGGAUUAGGUUAAUUGGGUUAGGCUAGAUUUGGGCUUGAAUUAAUGAAAUUGGGCUAUUUUGGGCCGCAUGUAUUUGGUUUAUUGGGUUGUGCAAAUGAUUUUGAGCCCCGG
rnacentral:lncRNA from 1 species